GGGCCCGCACAAGCAGUGGAGUAUGUGGUUUAAUUCGAAGCAACGCGAAGAACCUUACCAGGUCUUGACAUCCGAUGAAUACCUAAGAGAUUAGGGAAGCCUUUCGGGGCAUCGAGACAGGUGGUGCAUGGUCGUCGUCAGCUCGUGUCGUGAGAUGUUGGGUUAAGUCCCGCAACGAGCGCAACCCUUACGGGAUAGUUACUACGAGAAGAGGACUCUAUCAGGACUGCCGUUGACAAAACGGAGGAAGGUGGGGACGACGUCAGAUCAUCAUGCCCUUUAUGACCUGGGCUACACACGUACUACAAUGGCAAUUAACAGAGAGAAGCGAAACCGCGAGGUGGAGCAAACCUCACAAAAAUUGUCUCAGUUCGGAUCGCAGGCUGCAACUCGCCUGCGUGAAGUUGGAAUUGCUAGUAAUCGCGGAUCAGCAUGCCG
rnacentral:rRNA from 1 species